rnacentral:rRNA from 1 species
CUACGUGCCAGCAGCCGCGGUAAUACGUAGGUCCCGAGCGUUGUCCGGAUUUAUUGGGCGUAAAGCGAGCGCAGGCGGUUAGAUAAGUCUGAAGUUAAAGGCUGUGGCUUAACCAUAGUACGCUUUGGAAACUGUUUAACUUGAGUGCAAGAGGGGAGAGUGGAAUUCCAUGUGUAGCGGUGAAAUGCGUAGAUAUAUGGAGGAACACCAGUGGCGAAGGCGACUCUCUGGUCUGUAACUGACGCUGAGGCUCGAAAGCGUGGGUAGCAAACAGGAUUAGAUACCCUGGUAGUCCACGCCGUAAACGAUGAGUGCUAGGUGUUAGACCCUUUCCGGGGUUUAGUGCCGUAGCUAACGCAUUAAGCACUCCGCCUGGGGAGUACGACCGCAAGGUUGAAACUCAAAGGAAUUGACGGGGGCCCGCACAAGCGGUGGAGCAUGUGGUUUAAUUCGAAGCAACGCGAAGAACCUUACCAGGUCUUGACAUCCCUCUGAUCGCUCUAGAGAUAGAGUUUUC